rnacentral:rRNA from 1 species
GUUCCUACGGGAGGCAGCAGUGAGGAAUAUUGGUCAAUGGGCGCGAGCCUGAACCAGCCAAGUCGCGUGAGGGAUGACGGCCCUACGGGUUGUAAACCUCUUUUGCCGGGGAGCAACGGGCGCCACGUGUGGCGCCACUGAGAGUACCCGGAGAAGAAGCAUCGGCUAACUCCGUGCCAGCAGCCGCGGUAAUACGGAGGAUGCGAGCGUUAUCCGGAUUUAUUGGGUUUAAAGGGUGCGUAGGCGGUCCGUUAAGUCAGCGGUAAAAUUGCGGGGCUCAACCCCGUCGAGCCGUUGAAACUGGC